AUAUAAGCAAAUUUUACUUUUUAGAUUCAUUCAAUUAAUGAUGUAUGUGGUCUAUAAUGGACCACAUACAUAAUUAAUUGAAUGAAUCUAAAAAGUAAAAUUUGCUUAUAU
rfam:Medicago truncatula strain A17 chromosome 5, whole genome shotgun sequence.